rnacentral:rRNA from 1 species
AGGACGAACGCUGGCGGCGUGCUUAACACAUGCAAGUCGAGCGGAAAGGCCCUUCGGGGUACUCGAGCGGCGAACGGGUGAGUAACACGUGAGUAAUCUGCCCCUAGCUCUGGGAUAGCUCCGGGAAACCGGGAUUAAUACCAGAUACGACCACUUUAGACAUCUUCUGUGGUGGAAAGAACUUCGGCUAGGGAUGAACUCGCGGCCUAUCAGCUUGUUGGUGAGGUAACGGCUCACCAAGGCGACGACGGGUAGCCGGCCUGAGAGGGCGACCGGCCACACUGGGACUGAGACACGGCCCAGACUCCUACGGGAGGCAGCAGUGGGGAAUAUUGCGCAAUGGGCGAAAGCCUGACGCAGCGACGCCGCGUGGGGGAUGAAGGCCUUCGGGUUGUAAACCCCCUUCAGCAGGGACGAAGCGAAAGUGACGGUACCUGCAGAAGAAGCGCCGGCUAACUACGCGCCAGCAGCCGC